UACGGAGGGUGCGAGCGUUGUCCGGAAUCACUGGGCGUAAAGGGCGCGUAGGUGGCGCGAGGAGUCUGUGGUGAAAGCCCGAGGCUCAACUUCGGGUCGGCCGCGGAUACUCUCGUGCUGGAGGGUGGUAGAGGCCAAUGGAAUUCCGGGUGUAGCGGUGGAAUGCGUAGAGAUCCGGAAGAACACCGGUGGCGAAGGCGGUCUGCUGGGCCAAGACUGACGCUGAGGCGCGACAGCGUGGGGAGCAAACAGG
rnacentral:rRNA from 1 species